rnacentral:lncRNA from 1 species
CCUACAUCACAGGUAAUUCAUAUAUAUUUAACUGACAAUCAUAUCUACACCACAGAUAACUCAUAUCUACUUUACUGACAGUCAAAUCUACACCACAGGAAACUCAUAUCUACUUUACUGACAGUCAAACCUACACUACAGGUAACUCAUAUCUACUUUACUGACAGUCAAAUCUACACCACAGGUAAUUCAUAUCUACUUUACUGACAGGCAAAUCUACACCACAGGCAAUUCAUAUCUACUGUACUGACAGUCAAA